rnacentral:rRNA from 1 species
CCCCUAGAUGUUCUGGGCCGCACGCGCGCUACACUGAACAGUUCAACAAGUCUUAACCUUGGCCGAUAGGUCUGGGUAAUCUUUGAACGCUGUUCGUGAUUGGGAUAGACCUUUGCAAUUAUGGGUCUUCAACGAGGAAUUCCUAGUAAACGCAAGUCAUCAGCUUGCAUUGAUUAUGUCCCUGCCCUUUGUACACACCGCCCGUCGCACCUACCGAUUGAAUGGUCCGGUGAAAUCUCGGGACGGCGGCUUGGUCGCUUGCGUCCGACUGCUGAAACUUGAUUAAACCAUAUCAUUUAGAGGAAGGUGAANUCGUANCA